UGCCAGUUAUUAGGAUUAGGAUUAAACCAGUAUUAGGAUUAGGAUAUAAUUAGGAUUUAAACCAGUGCCGUUGAAUAAAAUGGUGUACAACAGGUUAGAAAACAUUCGGUGUAUUUUGUUUUGUUUUUUUAAAGCUCUUUCGAUUACCUAUUACGGAAGCAAAUAUGUUUCACUAAUGUGCAAAAGAAUGGCUCACUGGCUGGUUAGUGCAGACUAUGAUCGGAUGCGCAUUUCCCUACGCCGCAGUGCCGGGUGCAUCAUACGUCGGUGUUGGGUUGCUGUUACUGGGCCGAGCGGAUGCGCGUGCACACGUGGGAAUAAACGACACGCAACCGUGGUAUUUUAUAUUGCAUCGGUACGAUUAUCGUGUUCAAAGGCUUUUUCGAGAAAUGCCAAUACAUAAAUCGGU